UCUCAAGAGACUAAACCAAAGCCACCUAUUAGGAAAAAAAAUAAAGCAACUACUACACUUCGAAUUCUAUAUCCAUCGUACAGGACUUCAGCAAGCAUAGCUCUUUGCAAUCUGUCAAUCAUCAGCACGACAGUCUUCCAUUUGUGCAAGUCCCUUCCUCGAACAUCUAUUUAGAGGCCAAUCUCCUUACUGACUCUGUCCCAUUGAUAGGGGCUAGAUUGAAAUCUCAAGGCAUUCCUUUCCCUUCAUAUAAAACACACCACUAUAGCAAAGACAACUCAUAAUUGAACCUUUCCCUUACUUUUCACUUACCCACCGGUUGGCCAACUCUAGUUCACUUUGCCAGUUCCUAGUAGUUCUAUUGAACCCCAUCUAGACCAACAUCCUUUGACACAAUGAUCUAGCAACAACACCAAUCAAAAUAGAUAUGAUCAAAGGCUUCAACAUAAGCUCCAUAGAAAACACAAUCAAGUAUCACCUGAAUACCAAACUUUAGUAGCCGCUCCACAGUUACCAAUCUUUUCCAAGCAGCCAACCACAAGAUAACUUUGUGUCUAGGAUGGAUAAGUUGUGGUAGUGCUAUACUCUUCCAGGGCACCUUUGGGUAGGAUGGCAUAAGGCUGAGGUACAUCUUUUGAAUAGAAAAAUUGUCUGCUACCACUUCUGCAUUCAGAUUUGCAUCUAAAUCCCCUUAUAGAUCCAUUUCUUCUGGAUACUUUCUAACCUCUAAUAUUUUCCUCACUACCCAUAAUGCAUUGACUGGUAUGGUGCAUUGAUCCAUUGGCUUAUUUUUUUUAUGUAAAAUAUGUGCACCCAUUUUAUCCACAAAUAAUCGUUUUCCUCAAGCACUACCCACCACAACUUUAAUAUAGCAGUAGUAUUCCACAACUUCAGGUUUUUGACAUUCUGAGCCCUGCAGCCUUUGGAAGACAGAGCUUUUCCCAAGAGACCAUGGCCUUCUUUGAUCUCAAAGUUGAACCUGUCCACAAGACUGCAGUAUGGGACAGAUGAUUGACACAAGACAUGAAUCAUAAGGCCUUUACCAUCUCACCUCUUUAAAUUCCUUUACAUCAUGCUCCGUUACAAACUCUCCAGACCUUAUUCACAAAUAUUUGGGACAUCCGAGUCUAUUCAAGCUACAAAGAUGGUGUCUAGUUUGUCUAGUUUAUCCACAUUAGAUUGUGAGUUAUGUUAACUUAGGAAACACACUCGUGCCAUAUUUUCACGUAGUAUUGAGAGUCGUUCAGAGUUUAUUUUCUCAUUAAUUCAUUCUUAUAUUUGGGGUCCUAGUAGAGUCAGUUUACCCUUAGGAUUUCAUUACUUUGUUAUUUUCAUUAAUGUUUUUUCAUGAUGCACUUGGGUUUUCCUAAUGAAAGAUCGUUCUAAAUUAUUUUCUAUAUUCAAAAGUUUUUGUGUUGAAACACAAAAUUAAUUUGGUGCUUCUAUUCGUACUUUUAGUAGUGAUAAUGCCUUAGAAUACUUAUCCUCCUAGUUUCAAAAAUUUAUGACUCACCAAGGAUUUAUUUACCAGACAUCAUGUCCAUACACUCUUCAGUAUAACAGUAUAGUAGAAAGGAAAAAUAGGCAUCUCAUUGAGAUUGCUCGCACUCUUCUCAUUGAAUCCCAUAUUCCGCUGCAUUUAUGGGGCGUUGCAGUCUUCACAUCUUGACAUCUCAUUAAUGGAAUGCCAUCAUCUUCGAUUCAAAAUUAGGUUCCUCAUUCUAUACUACUUUCUCAGUCAUAUCUCUACUCUAUCCCCCUCGUGUUUUUGAGAGCAUGUGUUUUGUUCAUAACUUAGCCUUAGAAAAUAAUAAAUUAUCCCUUCGUGCUCUCAAAUGUGUCUUUCUUGGUUACUCUAGAGUUUAAAAAGGGUAUUGAUGCUAUUCACCUAAUUUGGGUUGCUACCUUAUGUCCACCGAUAUCAUAUUCGUUGAAUCUCAACGUUACUAUAUAUUUUAUGAUCAUCUUGAUAUCUUUGAGGUUCUACCCAUACCUCUAAUAUUACCCAUACCAACCUUUGAGGAGUCUACAUUUACUUUUACAUCUCCAGCUGCAGUGCCACUACUUUUAACUUAUCAUUGUUGCCCUGGUCCAUCAUAGUUCCAAAUGAUUCAUGUCACGUGCCUUAAGCUUCCCCUACUGUGGACUUGCCUCAUCUUAGCUAAUCAGUUACACUUUAAAAAGUGACGUGUUGAUAUUUUUCUGCUGUAAGACGAAUGCUAUUUCAGUGCAUGGCGCGUCGCACCAGAGACCAAAAUGGCACUUGUCAAUUUCCAAAAAUCCUCCGCGAUAGCCCUGCUUCGCACCAAGCUUCCAGGUCACAAUAAUUGUCAUUUUACCAAGCUCCGCGUCGUGCCGGGGCCCUAAAUCGGGAUAAAUUCUGCGUAGUUUUCAGUUUUCGUUUUAAACUCCUCAAGGGAAAUAUAGUAACUUACCAAAACCCUAUAUAUACUCUUUAAACACGGGAUUGAAGCCCCAAAGCAUCCCUUUACAUUAAUUUUAUCAAAAUUCACUCAAGAAUAGUCAAGAACAAGUCUAGGGUUUCCAUUGGGGUUUCAAG